CAACCCUCAAGCCCCAGCCUGGCUUGGUGUUGGGGACCGGCCCCUGCCGCCCCCCAAAUGCAGUGGCGACCUCGCCGCAGCCUCCCCUGCGUAGUAGCACAACCUCGCACCGGAGCGCGGAGACGGUCACGCCGUAUUUCGCCCAACUUCUCAGAG
rnacentral:misc_RNA from 1 species